rnacentral:rRNA from 1 species
AAAUUGAAGAGUUUGAUCAUGGCUCAGAUUGAACGCUGGCGGCAGGCCUAACACAUGCAAGUCGAACGGUAACAGGAAGCAGCUUGCUGCUUUGCUGACGAGUGGCGGACGGGUGAGUAAUGUCUGGGAAACUGCCUGAUGGAGGGGGAUAACUACUGGAAACGGUGGCUAAUACCGCAUAACGUCGCAAGACCAAAGAGGGGGACCUUCGGGCCUCUUGCCAUCAGAUGUGCCCAGAUGGGAUUAGCUUGUUGGUGAGGUAACGGCUCACCAAGGCGACGAUCCCUAGCUGGUCUGAGAGGAUGACCAGCCACACUGGAACUGAGACACGGUCCAGACUCCUACGGGAGGCAGCAGUGGGGAAUAUUGCACAAUGGGCGCAAGCCUGAUGCAGCCAUGCCGCGUGUAUGAAGAAGGCCUUCGGGUUGUAAAGUACUUUCAGCGGGGAGGAAGGUGUUGCGGUUAAUAACCGCAGCAAUUGACGUUACCCGCAGAAGAAGCACCGGCUAACUCCGUGCCAGCAGCCGCGGUAAUACGGAGGGUGCAAGCGUUAAUCGGAAUUACUGGGCGUAAAGCGCACGCAGGCGGUCUGUCAAGUCGGAUGUGAAAUCCCCGGGCUCAACCUGGGAACUGCAUUCGAAACUGGCAGGCUUGAGUCUUGUAGAGGGGGGUAGAAUUCCAGGUGUAGCGGUGAAAUGCGUAGAGAUCUGGAGGAAUACCGGUGGCGAAGGCGGCCCCCUGGACAAAGACUGACGCUCAGGUGCGAAAGCGUGGGGAGCAAACAGGAUUAGAUACCCUGGUAGUCCACGCCGUAAACGAUGUCUACUUGGAGGUUGUGCCCUUGAGGCGUGGCUUCCGGAGCUAACGCGUUAAGUAGACCGCCUGGGGAGUACGGCCGCAAGGUUAAAACUCAAAUGAAUUGACGGGGGCCCGCACAAGCGGUGGAGCAUGUGGUUUAAUUCGAUGCAACGCGAAGAACCUUACCUGGUCUUGACAUCCACAGAACUUUCCAGAGAUGGAUUGGUGCCUUCGGGAACCGUGAGACAGGUGCUGCAUGGCUGUCGUCAGCUCGUGUUGUGAAAUGUUGGGUUAAGUCCCGCAACGAGCGCAACCCUUAUCCUUUGUUGCCAGCGGUCCGGCCGGGAACUCAAAGGAGACUGCCAGUGAUAAACUGGAGGAAGGUGGGGAUGACGUCAAGUCAUCAUGGCCCUUACGACCAGGGCUACACACGUGCUACAAUGGCGCAUACAAAGAGAAGCGACCUCGCGAGAGCAAGCGGACCUCAUAAAGUGCGUCGUAGUCCGGAUUGGAGUCUGCAACUCGACUCCAUGAAGUCGGAAUCGCUAGUAAUCGUGGAUCAGAAUGCCACGGUGAAUACGUUCCCGGGCCUUGUACACACCGCCCGUCACACCAUGGGAGUGGGUUGCAAAAGAAGUAGGUAGCUUAACCUUCGGGAGGGCGCUUACCACUUUGUGAUUCAUGACUGGGGUGAAGUCGUAACAAGGUAACCGUAGGGGAACCUGCGGUUGGAUCACCUCCUUA